rnacentral:rRNA from 1 species
ACACUUCCUAGCAUGAAGUCAGACAAGUGAACCCGCCGAA